rnacentral:rRNA from 1 species
AUUGAACGCUGGCGGCAGGCCUAACACAUGCAAGUCGAGCGGAUGAAGGGAGCUUGCUCCUGGAUUCAGCGGCGGACGGGUGAGUAAUGCCUAGGAAUCUGCCUGGUAGUGGGGGAUAACGUCCGGAAACGGGCGCUAAUACCGCAUACGUCCUGAGGGAGAAAGUGGGGGAUCUUCGGACCUCACGCUAUCAGAUGAGCCUAGGUCGGAUUAGCUAGUUGGUGGGGUAAAGGCCUACCAAGGCGACGAUCCGUAACUGGUCUGAGAGGAUGAUCAGUCACAGUGGAACUGAGACACGGUCCAGACUCCUACGGGAGGCAGCAGUGGGGAAUAUUGGACAAUGGGCGAAAGCCUGAUCCAGCCGUGCCGCGUGUGUGAAGAAGGUCUUCGGAUUGGAAAGCACUUUAAGUUGGGAGGAAGGGCAGUAAGUUAAGACCUUGCUGUUUUGACGUUACCAACAGAAUAAGCACCGGCUAACUUCGUG